rnacentral:rRNA from 1 species
AUUGAACGCUGGCGGCAGGCCUAACACAUGCAAGUCGAGCGGAGCGGCGGACGGGGAAGUAAUGCCGAGGAAUCUGCCUGGUAGUGGGGGAUAAAGUCCGGAAACGGGGGCUAAUACCGCAAACUAUCAGAUGAGACUAGGUCGACUGAGCUAGUUGGGUGGGUAAAGGCCUACCAAGGCGACGAGACGUAACUGGUCUGAGAGGAGGAUCAUUCACACUGGAACUGAGACACGUCCCAGACUCCUACGGGAGGCAGCAGUGGGGAAUCUUGGACAAUGGGCGAAAGCCUGAUCCAGCCAUGCCGCGUGUGGUAAGAAGGUCUUCGGAUUGUAAAGCAAUUUAAGUUGGGAGGCGUUACCAACAGAAUAAGCACCGGCUAACAUCGUGCCAGCCGCCGCGGUAAUUC